UAUGCUUGUGUUCCUUUUUCUCUAGUUUUUGUGUUAUCUAUUGUAGGUUUCUGACUUGUGAUUACUAUGAGGUUCAUACAUGUUGACACAUAACUAUACUUAUAUGUUUUAAAUUGGUAGUCAUUUAAGUUCAAACACAUUCUGAAAGGUUAACAUUUUUUACCCACCGCCCCCACAUUUUGUCAGGGUUUUUGUUUUGUUUUUUGCUUUUUAGGGUCACACCCACAGUAUAUGGAGGUUCCCAGGCUAGGGGUUGAAUCAGGAGCUGCAGCUGCCAGCCUAUACCACAGCCACAGCAGUGGGGGAUCCGAGUUGCGUCUUUGACCUACGCCAUAGUUCAGAACAAUGCCAAAUCCCCAACUCACUAAGUGAGGCCAGGGAUUGAACCCACAUCCUCAUAGAUUCAUUUCCGCUGAGCCACGUCAGGAACUCCCCAUUUUGUGGUUUUGAUGUCUUAAUUUACAUCUUCCUGUCUAUCCCUUAACUGGUUAACAUAUUACAGCUGAUUUUACAAUUUUUGUCCUUUAAUCUUUGUACUAGUUUAAGUUUAUCCAUAGCCUUUACUACAUAUUUGCCUUGACUAAUGGAAUUUUCUUUCCCUAUAAAUUCUUACUUCUUUUUGUAGCCCUUCUUUUUCCACUUAAAGAAGACCCUUUCACACUUCUUGUCAGGCCAGCUUAGUAUUGAUGAGCUCUUAGUUUUUGACUGGGAAGUUCUCUCUCUCUCUCCUUGAAUUCUGAAUGAUAACAUUGCUAGGUAGAGUAUCCUGUGGUUGUAGGCUUUUCCCUUUCAGCACUUUCAGUAUAUUGUCCCACUCCCUUCUGGCCUGCAAAAUUUUUGCAGAAAAAUCAACUGAUAGUCUUAUGAGAGUUCCCUUGUAUGUGAAUCUUUUUCUCUUGCUGUCUUCAAAGUUUUCUUUUUAACUUUUGCCAUUUUAAUUAUGAUAUAGCUUGGUACAGGUCUCUCUGGGUUCAUCCUAUCUGGGACUCCAUGAUUCCUCUACCUGGAAUUCUGUUUCUUUCUUCAAGCUUCAGGAAGUUUUUCAGCCAUACUUUAAUCAAAUACACUUUCUACCCAUUUCCUUCUUUUCUCUCCUUCUGUGACCCCUAUAAUGGUUAUGUCACCAUGCUUGAUGUUGUCUCAGAGGUCCCUUAGACUAUCCUCAUUUAUAAGAUUUUUCUGUGUUCUUAUUGGAUGAUUUCUAUUAUUCUAUCUUCUACAUAACUUAUGUGUUCUUCCGUAUCACCUAGUCUGCUGUUAACUCCUUCUAGUGUACUUUUCAUUUCCGUUAUUGUAUUACUCAGCUGCUAUUAUAAAAUAUUUCCUAGUUCUGUGUUAAAAUUCUCACUAUAUUAAUCUAUUCCUUCCCCAAGUUCAGUUAGCAUUAUUAUUACUAUUGCUUUGAACUCUCUGGUGUGCUGGCAGCUACCACCAUAUUAGAAGGUGGAGCUGGAGAUGGAGGGGCUAUAGCCAGAGCCAGGCAUGAGUGAGGACUUCUUCUCUGCUCAAUGGCAGUCAUCUUAUCAGGGGUGGGUUUGGGGCCCAAGGUACUACAGCACAAGCCCUGAGAGUCAGGUCUGAGCUGGUUCUCUUCCCUCUAAGUGUACACAACCUCCUUGUCAAUGGCAGCCUCUACCAGAGUAGAGACCAGUCCUGGAGCAAGAGGGACUAGAAUGGGUGUCUGGUAUGGGCUGGGGUGUGCACUGGGACAGUCCCAGGAAGCCAGUCAGAGCCCCAGGAGGUUUUCAAUCUGUUGGUUCCAUGCACAUUCUGGUAAUGGCUGCCUUUGCCCUGUUCAGAGGCAGGGUCAGAUUAGUGGUGGCUCCAUUCUCUCUAAAUGUGCACAUUCUCCUUGACAACAGCACCUCUGCCCUGGUGGAGAGCGGCCCCUGGGUGGCCCUGUCUCAUGGCAUUUAUCAGACUGUUGGAAUUGGCCAUGUCCUCAUUGUCCUCCCUCCCCAGACAGGAAACUCCUCUGUGCCCAAAGUGGCCUAGCACAGAAUGGGUACUGAUGAAUGAAUGAUUAAUGAACUGGCUAAUAAGAAACAAGGCUCAAGUAAACCCACCAGGGCUGAGAAAGGAAACCCAAAGGAGGAUCAACAAAUAAUCUGGAACCAGAUUAAGGAAAGCUUUGAAUGCCAAUUUAAGGAUUUUGGACUUUAUCUUGUGGGCUACACACACACACAUGGCAAAUCACUCUUCUCCUUUGCCUGGAAGUCUCUCCCCUUAGCCAUGUGACACUCCCUCCAUUCAGGUCUCUGUUUAAAUGGUCAUCUGAGGAGUUCUGACCACUCUACGUAACACAGCACACCUCACCUGACCCUUUUGCCUCACUUUCUCUCCAUAGAACUUAGCACCACUUCACCUGUAUCAAUUUGUUCACUGUCAUUAUCCCCUCACUACAGUGUAAGAUCAAUGACAGCAGAGACAUUGUUUUGUUCACUGCUGUGUCCUCAGUGCCAACAAUGGUAUCCAAGUCAGAGCUUGAGAAAAUAUUUGUGGAAUAAAUGAAUCCCAGUUUUACAGAUGAGGAAAUAACGUCUUGCAGCUAGUAAAUGGUGGUGGUGGGACUCAGACCCAGAGCUUCUAUCAGUUUGACUCUAAAGAAUGUCCUUUAACAGGAUCCCAUGGGAAGGUCUCAAGGUACAGGUCUUGGAAUCCGAAAGACCUUGGCUUAAAUUCAUGGUUCUUUACCAUUUGGGAUUCCCUGACUCCUUUGGGUAUCUGUUGAAGGUUUUACUCUCUUUUCCUUGAGGAAAAAAAGGGCAAAGAUGGAACAUUUUGCAAAUGACAUCAAAGAGCUCAUGGACACUCUUAAGUAUCUUUUCUGAGCUUCCUGGCUUGUGUCUCUGGACAAGUCACCUCUACUCUCUAAGCCUCAGUCACUGCUCUAAAUUGGGGAUAAUGAGGAGUUUCCACUGUGCUCAGUGGGUUAAGAACCCAACUAGUAUUCAAGAAGAUGCAGGUUUGAUCCCUGGCCUUGCUCAGUGGGUUAAGGAUUUGGCAUUGCCAUAAGCCAUGGAGGAGGUGGCAGAUGUGGCUCGGAUCCAGUGUUGCUGUGGCUGUGGUGUAGGCUGGCAGCUGUAGCUCUAAUUAGACCCCUAGCCUGGGAACUUCCAUUAUGCCAUGGGUGUAACCAUAAGAGAAAAAAUAAAAUAAAGUGGGGAUAAUGAAGCUGAUCCCACAGGGUUGAAGGAAGAUCCAAACAGCUCAGUAUAAGCACCCCCUGUUCAAAAUCUCCUUAGUUCCCAUUUCCCUUUCACUACCUAAGCCACUGUGUGGCCUGGGUCCCAGGUCCAUUCAUGUGACUCUCAGACCCUUCCUUCCUAUAACCCUUAGUCGCUCCACCAGGAAAGUGGGAUUAUUGCUCAUUUAACAGAAUGGAUCAAAUGAGACAGUGAAAGCCCUCAGGAAACACUAAAGCCCUAGAAACGCUUCCCAAGACAUCCCCUCUGAGUGUCACAAAUUGCUUUACUGUUUCAAUUUAGGCUACAAAGAGCAUUCUGCAGAGCCAGGCCUAAGGAGUUCAAGGAUAAUGCGGGUCAAAUCCCAUUAUACCAAAUCCUAUUAUAGUGCCACCAGCCAUGGAAAGAGCUUGAAAGUGGAUGCUUCAGUAUUACUGAGGUCCUGAAAUGACUGCAGCUUCAACCAAAAGACUUACUACAAUCUCAUGAGAGACCCUGAACCAAAACCACCCAGCUGCACUGCUCUCAAAUUCCUAAUACUCAGUAACUGUGAGCUAAACCUUUGUUGUUUUAAGCAGCUGUGUUUGGAGUAUACAGCAGUACAUAACUAAUAAAGAUGAUAACAGAAAAUUAUAAUAUUCGUAGGUGUGACAGUGGCAUUGUGAUUAUGUAGGGGGAUCUCUUCAUUUUUAGGAUUUGUAUCCUAAUGAACUUAGGGGUGAUAUGCCAUGAUGUCUUUAUGAUUUGUAAAUAUACAUACAUACAUGGCAUAUACACACACACAUAUACACACAUAACAAAAAUACUAACCGUUAUUGAAUCUAGACAGCAGGUAUAUAAGUAAAAUCACUCUAUUCUUCUUUCGACUCUUCUAUAUCUUUUAACAUUUCACACAAUAAAAACUUAAAGAGUUCCUGCUUCUGGCAAAGGAGUAAUAGGAUCCCAGUUUGUCCUCUCAACAAAACAACACAAAAAACAUCAAAAGUAUAUGA
rnacentral:lncRNA from 1 species